rnacentral:lncRNA from 1 species
CUCUAUACUGUGUUGAUAAUUGUUACAUUACAUGAAGCAUAGGAGUAAUUGUGACUAUUCCCACCCACUGUGCUGAGGAGCUGGGUGGGGGUAGAUAUCCUUGUAUGUGACUAUAACCAACUUUGGAGCGCUCCGAAAAGCCGCCCUCGGUCGUCUCAGACUCCCACCCACUUUCCAGGAGGCGAGACCUGGCUUUUACUUCGCGGCCACCACCAACAUGCCUGCAAUCUGCUCGGAUCCCGCAGGCCAGAGUGGGACGCCCGCGACUUCACACCCAGGCUGGAGACAGGCGGACCGGUGGGGCCAACUCGGGUGGGAGGCUUGGGAGAAUGGAGCCGCCUCCCGCCUCCCGCCUCUUCCCCUUCCCCCGGCGGGCGGGCGGGCGGGCGCGCGCGGGCCGGGAGCGGGGAGGCGGCGAGAGGGCAGCGGCGGCGCCGCCGGCCGGGUGCGGGGGCCGCGGAGCGCGCCCGCCGCGCUCUCCCCGCGGCCGCUCUCGCCCGGCACAGCCCGCGCCCCCGGACCCGCGAGGCGCCCGCCGCUCGCGGCCGCGGGGACCGAACGCGCGAGGGGAAGGGCCGCCCGCGCGGCGCCCCAGCCGGGAUACCGGCCCCGCGUGGCCCCCGAGCGCCGCCCAUACGGACCCGGGAAGCAGGAUCCCGCGGACGCCCGCAGCCCGAGGGAAUCGCCGGGGACCGGGCUGUCCUUUCUCAGACACCCGCCCCCGGAGACUUGGAACGCGGACUCCAGAGGCGGCGCGCACGUUGCACUGUACCUUAGCAGACCUUUGGUGCUGAAGACCAAUAACUUACAGCUGCAAUUCUUCUGACACCCACUCCACAAACAAACUUCAGGUCUUUCUCAAGUUCAGUUCAGUCACUCAGUUGUGUCCAACUCUUUGCGACCCCAUGGACUGCAGCACACCAGGCUUUCCUGUCCAUCACCAACUCCCAGAACUUGCUUAUACUCAUGUCCAUGGAGUCACUGAUGCCAUCCAACCAUCUCAUUUAGGUAAGUCCAAAACACUUUAAGUAAAAUUACUUUAGGUAAAGGCAGUGUAUUGAAUUACAUGUAUUGCCAGGAGGC